AUUGAACGCUGGCGGCAUGCUUUACACAUGCAAGUCGAGCGGUAACAGGCCGCAAGGUGCUGACGAGUGGCGAACGGGUGAGUAAUGCAUCGGAACGUGCCCAGUCGUGGGGGAUAACGCAGCGAAAGCUGCGCUAAUACCGCAUACGAUCUGUGGAUGAAAGCGGGGGACCGUAAGGCCUCGCGCGAUUGGAGCGGCCGAUGUCAGAUUAGGUAGUUGGUGGGGGAAAGGCGCACCAAGCCAACGAUCUGUAGCUGGUCUGAGAGGACGACCAGCCACACUGGGACUGAGACACGGCCCAGACUCCUACGGGAGGCAGCAGUGGGGAAUUUUGGACAAUGGGCGCAAGCCUGAUCCAGCAAUGCCGCGUGCAGGAAGAAGGCCUUCGGGUUGUAAACUGCUUUUGUACGGAACGAAACGGUCCUGGUUAAUACCUGGGGCUAACGACGGUACCGUAAGAAUAAGCACCGGCUAACUACGUGCCAGCCGCCGCCGUAACAC
rnacentral:rRNA from 1 species